rnacentral:rRNA from 1 species
GACGAACGCUGGCGGCGUGCUUAACACAUGCCAGUCGAACGGAAAGGCCUGCUUUCCCUUGUGGAUUGCGGGUACUCGCGUGGCGAACGGGUGAGUAACACGUGAGUGAUCUGCCCCCAACUUGGGUAUAAGCCUGGGAAACUGGGUCUAAUUCCCGAUAGGACUGCAGGGUGGUGCCUGUGGUGGAAAACGAUUUUCUAGUGGUUGGGGCUGAGCUCGCGGCCUAUCAGCUUGUUGGUGGGGUAAUGGCCUACCAAGGCGGCGACGGGUAGCCGGCCUGGGAGGGUGGACGGGCACAUUGGGACUGAGAUACGGCCCAGACUCCUACGGGAGGCAGCAGUGGGGAAUAUUGCGCGAUGGGCGGAAGCCUGAUGCAGCGACGCCGCGUGGGGGAUGACGGCCUUCGGGUUGUAAACUCCUUUCGACCGCGAGGAAGCCACCUGGUUGGAAGGGUGGUGACGGUAGUGGUAGAAGAAGCACCGGCUAACUACGUG